rnacentral:rRNA from 1 species
CAGUAGUCACGUAGUUGAUCAUGGCUCAGAACACGCUGGCGGCAGGCCUAACACAUGCAAGUCGAGCGAACCCUUCGGGGUUAGCGGCGGACGGGUUAGUAACGCGUGGGAAUAUACCCUUUGGUACGGAAUAGCCUCGGGAAACUGAGAGUAAUACCGUAUGUGCCCUUCGGGGGAAAGAUUUAUCGCCAAAGGAUUAGCCCGCGUUGGAUUAGAUAGUUGGUGGGGUAAUGGCCUACCAAGUCUACGAUCCAUAGCNGGUUUGAGAGGAUGAUCAGCAACACUGGGACUGAGACACGGCCCAGACUCCUACGGGAGGCAGCAGUGGGGAAUCUUAGACAAUGGGCGCAAGCCUGAUCUAGCCAUGCCGCGUGGACGAUGAAGGCCUUAGGGUUGUAAAGUCCUUUCAGAUGGGAAGAUAAUGACGGUACCAUCAGAAGAAGCCCCGGCUAACUCCGUG